rnacentral:rRNA from 1 species
UACGUAGGGUGCAAGCGUUAAUCGGAAUUACUGGGCGUAAAGCGUGCGCAGGCGGUUGUGUAAGACAGAUGUGAAAUCCCCGGGCUCAACCUGGGAACUGCAUUUGUGACUGCACGGCUGGAGUGCGGCAGAGGGGGGGAUGGAAUUCCGCGUGUAGCAGUGAAAUGCGUAGAUAUGCGGAGGAACACCGAUGGCGAAGGCAAUCCCCUGGGCCUGCACUGACGCUCAUGCACGAAAGCGUGGGGAGCAAACAGG